AGUGAACGCUGGCGGUAGGCCUAACACAUGCAAGUCGAACGGCCGCACAGUAAGAGCUUGCUCUUACGGGUGGCGAGUGGCGGACGGGUGAGGAAUACAUCGGCAUCUACUUUUUCGUGGGGGAUAACGUAGGGAAACUUACGCUAAUACCGCAUACGACCUACGGGUUAAAUCAGUGGAUCUUCGGACCUUGCGCGAUUGAAUUAGCCGAUGUCGGAUUAGCUAGUUGGCGGGGUAAAGGCCCACCAAGGCAACGAUCCGUAGCUGGUCUGAGAGGAUGAUCAGCCACACUGGAACUGAGACACGGUCCAGACUCCUACGGGAGGCAGCAGUGGGGAAUAUUCGACAGUGGGCGCAAGCCUGAUCCAGCCAUACCGCGUGGGUGAAGAAGGCCUUCGGGUUGUAAAGCCCUUUUGUUGGGAAAGAAAAGCAGCAGGUUAAUACCCCGCUGUUCUGACGGUACCCAAAGAAUAAGCACCGGCUAACUUCGUG
rnacentral:rRNA from 1 species